rnacentral:rRNA from 1 species
GAUGAACGCUGGCGGCGUGCCUAAUACAUGCAAGUCGAGCGAACGGAUGAGGAGCUUGCUUCUCUGAUGUUAGCGGCGGACGGGUGAGUAACACGUGGAUAACCUACCUAUAAGACUGGGAUAACUUCGGGAAACCGGAGCUAAUACCGGAUAAUAUUUUGAACCGCAUGGUUCAAAAGUGAAAGACGGUCUUGCUGUCACUUAUAGAUGGAUCCGCGCUGCAUUAGCUAGUUGGUAAGGUAACGGCUUACCAAGGCAACGAUGCAUAGCCGACCUGAGAGGGUGAUCGGCCACACUGGAACUGAGACACGGUCCAGACUCCUACGGGAGGCAGCAGUAGGGAAUCUUCCGCAAUGGGCGAAAGCCUGACGGAGCAACGCCGCGUGAGUGAUGAAGGUCUUCGGAUCGUAAAACUCUGUUAUUAGGGAAGAACAUAUGUGUAAGUAACUGUGCACAUCUUGACGGUACCUAAUCAGAAAGCCACGGCUAACUACGUG